UACGUAGGGGGCGAGCGUGUCCGGAUUUAUUGGGCGUAAAGAGCGUGUAGGCGGCCAGGUAGGUCUGCUGUGAAAACUCGAGGCUUAACCUCGAGAUGUCGGCGGAAACCAUCUGGCUAGAGUCCGGAAGAGGAGAGCGGAAUUCCUGGUGUAGCGGUGAAAUGCGCAGAUAUCAGGAGGAACACCCGUGGCGAAGGCGGCUCUCUGGGACGGUACUGACGCUGAGACGCGAAAGCGUGGGGAGCGAACAGG
rnacentral:rRNA from 1 species